rnacentral:rRNA from 1 species
UACGUAGGGGGCAAGCGUUGUCCGGAAUCAUUGGGCGUAAAGAGCUCGUAGGCGGCUCAGUAAGUCGGGUGUGAAACCUCCAGGCUCAACCUGGAGACGCCACCCGAUACUGCUGUGGCUAGAGUCCAGUAGGGGAGUGUGGAAUUCCCGGUGUGAGCGGUGAAAUGCGCAGAUAUCGGGAGGAACACCAGCGGCGAAGGCGGCACUCUGGGCUGGUACUGACGCUG